rnacentral:rRNA from 1 species
GACGAACGCUGGCGGCGUGCCUAAUACAUGCAAGUAGAACGCACAGUUUAUACCGUAGCUUGCUACACCAUAAACUGUGAGUUGCGAACGGGUGAGUAACGCGUAGGUAACCUGCCUGGUAGCGGGGGAUAACUAUUGGAAACGAUAGCUAAUACCGCAUAAUAUUGAUUAUUGCAUGAUAAUUGAUUGAAAGAUGCUAUUGCAUCACUACCAGAUGGACCUGCGUUGUAUUAGCUAGUAGGUGAGGUAACGGCUCACCUAGGCGACGAUACAUAGCCGACCUGAGAGGGUGAUCGGCCACACUGGGACUGAGACACGGCCCAGACUCCUACGGGAGGCAGCAGUGGGGAAUCUUCGGCAAUGGACGAAAGUCUGACCGAGCAACGCCGCGUGAGUGAAGAAGGUUUUCGGAUCGUAAAGCUCUGUUGUAAGAGAAGAACGGGUGUGAGAGUGGAAAGUUCACACUGUGACGGUAUCUUACCAGAAAGGGACGGCUAACUACGUG